rnacentral:tRNA from 1 species
GCAUGGGUGGCUCAGUCAGUAGAGCAUAGGACUCCUGAUCUCAGGGUCGUGAGUUCAAGCCCUACUUUGAGCA